rnacentral:rRNA from 1 species
CCUACGGGGGGCUGCAGUGGGGAAUAUUGGACAAUGGGGGCAACCCUGAUCCAGCCAUGCCGCGUGUGUGAAGAAGGCCCUCGGGUUGUAAAGCACUUUCAGGGAGGAAGAACGCCUGGGGGUUAAAACCCAUCAGGAAAGACAUCACUCACAGAAGAAGCACCGGCUAACUCCGUGCCAGCAGCCGCGGUAAUACGGAGGGUGCGAGCGUUAAUCGGAAUUACUGGGCGUAAAGCGCGCGUAGGUGGCUUGAUAAGCCGGUUGUGAAAGCCCCGGGCUCAACCUGAGAACGGCAUCCGGAACUGUCAAGCUAGAGUGCAGGAGAGGAAGGUAGAAUUCCCGGUGUAGAGGUGAAAUGCGUAGAGAUCGGGAGGAAUACCAGUGGCGAAGGCGGCCUUCUGGACUGACACUGACACUGAGGUGCGAAAGCGUGGGUAGCAAACAGGAUUAGAUACCCUGGUAGUC